UACGAAGGUGGCAAGCGUUACUCGGAAUUACUAGGCGUAAAGGGCAGGUAGGCGGUUUGAUAAGUCUGUUGUGUCAGCUCCCGGCUUAACUGGGAGAGGUCAACGGAAACUAUUAGACUUGAGUGUAGGAGAGGGUACUGGAAUUCCUGGUGUAGCGGUGAAAUACGCAGAGAUCAGGAGGAACACCAAUGGCGAAAGCAAGUACCUGGACUAUUACUGACGCUCAGCUGCGAAAGCUAGGGGAGCAAACAGG
rnacentral:rRNA from 1 species